ACAGUGACCAGUUCUAUUUUCAUCCUCUGCUGAGGCAAAUAAAUUGCCAUUACAGUUUUUUUUAAACCCUGUGUUUUAACUUACAGGUGGAUACAGGCACACAGAUGGCAGAUAACAGUAAAACAGAAGAUACUGCUUCAGAUUCUGUGGAGGCUGCUAAAAAUGCAAGUGACAAAAAAGAAAAGCUAGCAGACCAAGUCAUGCAAAAUCCACAGGUCCUGGCAGCACUACAGGACCGUCUUGACAACGCAGCACUUACUCCUUCAAGUUACAUUGAAACUUUACCAAAAGCAGUGAAAAGAAGAAUUGAUGCCUUGAAACAACUCCAGGUGAAAUGUGCCCAUAUAGAAGCUAAAUUCUAUGAAGAAGUACAUGAUUUAGAGAGAAAAUACGCGGCGCUCUAUCAACCCCUUUUUGAUAAGAGAAGAGAGUUUAUUAAUGGAGAAGCUGAACCCACAGAUGCGGAGUCAGAGUGGCACAGUGAAAAUGAGGAAGAAGAAAAACUAGCUGAUGACCUGAAAAAUGCAGUGGUAAUAGAUGAAAAAGCAGAAGCAGAAGAGACAAAUGUCAAAGGAAUUCCAGACUUCUGGUUUACUAUCUUUAGGAAUGUAGAUAUGCUAAGUGAAUUAGUACAGGAAUAUGAUGAACCAAUCUUGAAACAUCUGCAGGAUAUUAAAGUUAAGUUUUCUGAACCUGGACAGCCUAUGUCUUUCUCCUUAGAGUUCCACUUUGGGCCCAAUGACUACUUCUCUAAUUCAGUCCUGACAAAAACAUACAAGAUGAAGUCGGAGCCAGACAAGACAGAUCCCUUUUCAUUUGAAGGACCUGAAAUAGUUGAUUGUGAGGGGUGUACUAUUGACUGGAAGAAAGGAAAGAAUGUUACAGUUAAAACAAUCAAGAAAAAGCAGAAACACAAGGGUCGAGGCACAGUUCGGACAAUUACUAAGCAAGUCCCUAACGACUCUUUCUUUAACUUCUUCAGCCCAAUAAAGGUAUCUGGUGAUGGAGAGUCACUGGAUGAAGACUCAGAGUUUACUUUAGCAGCAGAUUUUGAAAUUGGACACUUCUUCCGUGAAAGGAUAGUCCCUCGUGCUGUGCUGUAUUUCACUGGGGAAGCCAUAGAGGAUGAUGAUAAUUUUGAAGAAGGUGAAGAAGGUGAAGAGGAGGAGUUGGAGGGGGAAGAGGAGGGAGAAGAGGAGGAAGAUGCAGAGAGUGAUCCUAAGGUGUAAUUUAAGUCUGUUUAUCAUUCAUACAUUUCUAGGCCCUCAGUCACUUUUAGAGGCCUUUUCUUGAGCUCAUAAUUCUGAACAGAAAGAUGCCAGCCAGCCUGCUGAAUGCAAACAACAGUAAUAAGGAAAUACCACUGGGAAGUGAUAUUUGAACAACCUGUUACAAAUAUUUGGAUACCUGGCCUGCAGUUCAGGAUAUUCCAUCGCUGCAGCACAAUCUUAUUAACAAUGCUUAAAGUUAAUUUGUUUUAAAAUGCAUGGUUUUCACUAACUCUCUUCUUUAUUGCUUAACAUGUACAGUGGCAACUUCAAUGCAUUUGGGAAAUAAGAGGUUUAAAUAAAGCACACUCUACAGCCGUUGGUACACUGUAGCUAAGUAUGUCACUAGGCCUUUAGAGCCUUCUGCCCUAUGCAUAAGGGAAUAGUCCAGACUACCAAGUGAGAUUAUCCAUUUUCUUGUGAAACACUGAAACUUGUGGAAUAGCAAUGUGCAGAGAAGCUAAAGGUAAAUGGAUUACAUGUAUGGUAGCUGAAACAGAUAGAGCAAUAUGACUUUUUUUGCUAGUUCCCUCCCCCCUUUUGUAAUGUUCCUUGCAACCUACUGAUUGAACCUAGUGCUUGAGCAGCUUUCAAUGUCAUAUUUAUUAUCUCAGUUAAAAACCGAUCGAAGUAAUUUUACUUCAUUGCAGGGGGUGUCAUAUUUGAGACUUAGUUGUUCAUCUUACUAUUUAUUUAUUCAUGUUUGUAAGUACUUUGACAGAAUUAGUGCUUUUUAAUAGGUUUUAAUAUACUUGAAGAAAAAAAAUCUUUCUCUUUUGCAUACAAUAUGGGUACUUAUAACAACUCCUUUGACUUGGUCUCAAUGUAGUAGUCUAGACAGAAGAAACAAACUUGCAUCAAAAUGACAACUCUUCUGGAUGAAGAUCAAAAUGCAAAGGCCAAACUGUUGCUGUUGGUGGAAGUGGGUUGCAGCCAAAGAACCAGGAAAUUGCCAGUAGUCUUAUUGCUUAGUGUCCAGCAUGGAAGGACCUCUCACUCUGAACACGGAAAUUUAUCGAAGUUCAGUUCAAUAAAUCUGAAGUUUUGCUGUC